AGUUUGAUUCUGGCUCAGAUUGAACGCUGGCAGGAUGCUUUACAUGCAAGUCGAACGGCAGCACGGACUUCGGUCUGGUGGCGAGUGGCGAACAGGUGAGUAAUGUAUCGGAACGUGCCUAGUAGCGGGGGAUAACUGCGCGAAAAUAGCUAAUACCGCAUACGCCCUUCGGGGGAAAGCGGGGACGCUUCGGGCCUCGCACUGGUAGAGCGAGCCGAUAUCGGAUUGGCCUAGUUGGUGGGGUAACGGCUCACCGGGGCGACGAUCCGUAGCUGGUUUGAGAGGACGACCAGCCACACUGGGACUGAGACACGGCCCAGACUCUACGGGAGGCAGCAGUGAAAUUUUUGGACAAUGGGGGAAACCUGAUCCAGCCAUCCCGCGUGUGCGAUGAGCCUUCGGGUUGUAAAGCACUUUGCUUGGGAAAGAAGCAGCCUGGGAUAAUACCCCGUGCAACUGACGGUACAAGAAUAAGCACCGGCUAACUACAGUACCAGCAGCCGCGGUAAUACGUGGUGCAAGCGUUAAUCAGAUUACUGGGCGUAAAGCGUGCGCAGGCGGUUCGGAAGAAAGAUGUGAAAUCCCAGAGCUUAACUUUGGAACUGCAUUUUAACUACCGAGCUAGAGUGUGUCCAGAGAGUGGAAUUCCGCGUGUAGCAGUGAAAUGUAAGUAAAUCUGCGGAGGAACACCGAUGGCGAAAACAGCCUCUGGGAUAACACUGACGCUCAUGCACGAAAGCGUGGGGAGCAAACAGGAUUAGAUACCCUGGUAGUCCACGCCCUAAACGAUGUCAACUAGCUGUUGGGGCCUUCGGGCCUUGGUAGCGCAGCUAACGCGUGAAGUUGACCGCCUGGGAGUACGGUCGCAAGAUUAAAACUCAAAGGAAUUGACGGGGACCCGCACAAGCGGUGGAUGAUGUGGAUGUGAAUUCGAUGCAACGCGAAAACCUUACCUACCCUUGACAUGUCUGGAAUCCGAAGAGAUUUGGGAGUGCUCGCAAGAGAACCGGAACACAGGUGCUGCAUGGCUGUCGUCAGCUCGUGUCGUGAGAUGUUGGGUUAAGUCCGCAACGAGAAGCGCAACCCUUGUCCUUAGUUGCUACGGGGGCAUCUAAUGAGACUGCCGGUGACAAACCGGAGGAAGGUGAGGAUGACGUCAAGUCCUCAUAAACCCAUAUGGGUAGGGCUUCACACGUCAUACAAUGGUCGGGACAGAGGGUCGCCAACCCGCGAGAGAGAACAAUCCCAGAAACUGAUCGUAGUCCGGAUCGCAGUCUGCAACUCGACUGCGUGAAGUCGGAAUCGCUAAUCGCGGAUCAUGUCGCCCGGUGAAUACGUUCCAGGUCUUGUACACACCACCCGUCACACCAUGAGAUUAAGGUUUUACCAGAAAUAGUUAGCUAACCGUAAGGAGGGCGAUUACCACGGUAGGAUUCAUGACUGGGGUGAAGUCAUGGCAUAAGGUAG
rnacentral:rRNA from 1 species